ensembl:lncRNA
UCCCAGUUCCUCCAUGGACUGCUAGGUAACUUUGGACAGACUUCUUUGAGCUUUGGUUCUCUUAUCUGUAAAAUAUCUGAAAUUGCUAUUGAAGUCAGGGAAUUGCCAGUACCCAAUCUUUUGAUAUUCAUCUUCCUCGUAACAGUAAGAAAAGCAUCUGAAAUGGAUCCUAUGCAUCAAGUGAUGUUAAUGCUCAGAACUGAGAUGGGAAGCCUCAGGAUGGGAAUUAGGCGAAAGGACAGAGGUUGAAGGAAGAAGAAAGGCAAUGAGUUGAUUUCAGUUGAUUCCUUCCUCCUUGACUAACGGAUCCCCAUAUCCCUCUUUUCAGGGUGUCUUCAUCUUACUGUUUGGUUGCCUCAUGGACAAGAAGGUGAGUCUGCUCGUCUCCCCAUGCCUGACUUGCACUGGAAGGCCGGGCAUAACAGCAUUCACCUCUCUUGCAGGUCCAAGAGGCUUUACGCAAACGCUUCUGCUGCAGCCAACCCCCCAGAUCCACCAUCUCCUUGGCCACAAAUGAAACCUACAUCUCAGAACACAGCAAAGGAAGAAGUAAAGAUGCCAGGUGAAAAUGAAGUGUUCUUAGGGGCAGCAUGCAUAGCAUGUGGUGAGGCUGAGUGCACAAAGGGCUUUCCAGCAAAGCUCUAAAAGGAAAACUCCUCUUCGUAUACCUGUCCCAACCCAAUGGCGGAAAACAGAUUUCUUCAAGUGGACAUUUCUAGAUGGGCUGAAGAAGGUGGAGGCCUCAGAUGUGGAUAGCAUCUCCUAUUGCUUUCCCAGAAAGGUGGAGGAGGUGUCACCACCACCAACCCUUGACUCAGUUCACUCUGAAAAUUCCUUUUCACACUAUCAAAAUUUUAAUCAUCCUGAAAAACCAUUGUUUUGAAGGAACUGCUGUUGGUGGGCCUGGAGUGCAGAGGGGAGAGGGGCCUGCAGAGGCUUCAGGGAGAGCUCCUUGGUGGGGAAGACAGAAACUCUGAGUGACCCACAGGCAGAGCUGGUGUUCCUUCAAGGAGGCUGAGGGUAUGUCCUUGAAGCCAGGGAUGGGUCCUGGCCAACGAUCUGAACACUUUCACCCUCCCAGAGCUCAGCCAAUGGGAAAGGUAGCCCUCCCAUUAGUCACACUCAUUUCUCUUGUAGUCAUCUGUCUCCACCUCUAAACUAUCCAAGCAAGAAAAGCAUGAAAAACUAGCUGAAGCUACCUAAUGAAUAAGCCUGCCCUUGCUGUAAAAAUAAUCACCAAAGUUCAAAGUAAUUACAAGCAAAACUAUCUCAACCAGGUUUUUAACUAAUCAACAGUUUAUGUUACAGAGAUAUUUGAUAAAAAUGGUUUUAUUUGAACUAUUCAGUGAUUUCUUGUCUAAUGAUUUCUUCCUAUAGUUACAAAGAAAGGAUGACUUUAAAAAAAUAAAAAGAAAGGAUGGCUUAAUUGAAAGGAACGCUGAUCUUCCAAACACUGGAGGCAAAGGACAGAAUUUGGUUUCUUUUCAAAAUAUAGGAAAAGUGAAGUUAAUAGGUCUCUUUAAGCUUUAUAAAACACAUCACUAUAUGUAAGUUUCAUACAUAUGUAUGUAUAUAAAAAGUCGUUGAUAGAAGGGCAUUCAUAAGCAGGAGGCAGCAGUACUGGAAUCAGCGGGGGCUUUGCCUUGCCGGUUUCCCUGACAACAGAAUCAUGUCUCAAUUCCACUUUUACAUGAUUAACAUUUACAGUCUUAAUUUUUUUAAUUAUAAUUUUUCUUAAUUCAAGUAAUAUAGAAUAGAAGCAGCAGACUCCUUUUCUGAGCAUGCUUCCGAAGAUACAUGUGUGUUCUCAUCUUCCUUCUCAAAUGAUUACACGUACUCAAAACACACUCUGCUGCUAACAGCACACUUUAGAAUGGAUAAAUGAAAUGACAUUAAGCCUUUGUUUACUUGGCUUUCAUCAUUUAAAAAAAAAAAGUGGAAUAAACAGAAUGCUCUGGAGGUAAAUCCAAGAAGGCUAGAUUUAGCAGCAAUUGUAUUUCUAAUAAGAAGGCUUAAAGAAAAUUCCUUUUCACACUAUCAAAAUUUUAAUCAUCCUGAAAACCAUUGUUUUGAAGGAACUGCUGUUGGUGGGCCUGGAGUGCAGAGGGGAGAGGGGCCUGCAGAGGCUUCAGGGAGAGCUCCUUGGUGGGGAAGACAGAAACUCUGAGUGACCCACAGGCAGAGCUGGUGUUCCUUCAAGGAGGCUGAGGGUAUAUCCUUGAAGCCAGGGAUGGGUCCUGGCCAACGAUCUGAACACUUUCCCCCUCCCAGAGCUCAGCCAAUGGGAAAGGUAGCCCUCCCAUUAGUCACACUCAUUUCUCUUGUAGUCAUCUGUCUCCACCUCUAAACUAUCCAAGCAAGAAAAGCAUGAAAAACUAGCUGAAGCUACCUAAUGAAUAAGCCUGCCCUUGCUGUAAAAAUAAUCACCAAAGUUCAAAGUAAUUACAAGCAAAACUAUCUCAACCAGGUUUUUAACUAAUCAACAGUUUAUGUUACAGAGAUAUUUGAUAAAAAUGGUUUUAUUUGAACUAUUCAGUGAUUUCUUGUCUAAUGAUUUCUUCCCUAUAGUUACAAAGAAAGGAUGACUUUAAAAAAAAAUAAAAAAGAAAGGAUGGCUUAAUUGAAAGGAACGCUGAUCUUCCAAACACUGGAGGCAAAGGACAGAAUUUGGUUUCUUUUCAAAAUAUAGGAAAAAGUGAAGUUAAUAGGUCUCUCUUUAAGCUUUAUAAAACACAUCACUAUAUGUAAGUUUCAUACAUAUGUAUGUAUAUAAAAAGUCGUUGAUAGAAGGGCAUUCAUAAGCAGGAGGCAGCAGUACUGGAAUCAGCGGGGCUUUGCCUUGCCGGUUUCCUGACAACAGAAUCAUGUCUCAAUUCCACUUUUACAUGAUUAACAUUUACAGUCUUAAUUUUUUAAUUAUAAUUUUC